GGGAGGAGGCGGCGGCGGCGGCGGCGCGCACGGCCGCGCUGGGGGCGGCUCGGUGAGGAGGAGGAGGAGGGCCGGGCCCCUCAGUGAGGAGAGAUGAUGAAGGAGCUCCAGCCCUGUCCCACUUCCACAUGACAAAAGAAGAGGAAAACAGCUGUCUUGUGAGCUCUGCCGGGGCCAGGAACGCUGGUGGGACUCCUGCCUGCAAACCGAUCGCUCCCACGGGACUGACUCAUGCCGGAGACGGGCACCGUUAUUAUGGGAUUCCUGCGGAAUUGACUUCAAACCGAGGAAAAAGAGCAAAGCCGUUCCCAGAGCUCAGAAAUCUGGGGAGCACAGUGGGGAGAGAGCGCACGGGGACUGGCCUGGGGGCUAUGGAAUUCCGGGAAAGCGAGCGGAGGUGGUGGCCUCUGUCCCACCUGGUCGAAGGGAUUUCUUCCCCCCUUUCCAUAACCGCACUGUGGAAUGAUUCCCGUUUCCAAAGAGCUGCUGAGGGUUGAGAGAAGACAAACACAGCAGCCCAAGCAAUGCGCUCGGUGUCCUCUGCUUCCCCGGGAGCGGGUUCGGGGGUCCCGGGCUGCCGGGGGGGAUGAGCCGGGCUGUGCUGGCAGCUCUGGGAUACCCCGAGCCCAGAGGAAGGGAGGCAAAAGCAAAUAGAUGCUGGCGCGUCGCUGGCUUUAAUAAACAGCUCUUUGUUAGGGCUGGGUUUAA